rnacentral:tRNA from 1 species
GGUAAAAUGACUGAAUUAGGUAAUAAAUUGUAAAUUUAUUGAAGAAGUUUAAAUCUUUUUUUAUCA